UUAUAAAAAGAAAAAUGGGGGUCCAUGGGCAAAAUGUUUAAGGCAUUCAAAUUAAUAAAACCAGAGAAUUUAGAAAAUCUGACAAAAAAUGCAAAUCAUGAAAAGUAAACAUCAGAAAAAAGGAAAUAGGAAAAGCUAAUGACUUUUUGAGAAUUCAAGCAUCCUCGUUUUUAAUCUUAAUCAGUAGAUUGAUAGAACAUAUGAAUUGAAAUAAAAUAAAACAGCAUACAACAG
rnacentral:lncRNA from 1 species